ACAAGUUUUCCUAAAAACGCACUAUGGACCUUGCUGAAGUUCGAUCAUAUCUGCAGAACCAUGACCGUAGCCUCUGGAUCUUCCCUUUGCUUUCAGAUUCGCCUCUAUUUGCAUUGCCCAGCUGAAGAGAAGGUUAGAAUGAAGAUUUAUGCUCAGAUGUGGAAGGCUGUUUCCUGGAUGAACUGUGUUUCCUCAAUAUACCAUCAAUUUUCCUCAUUGAAGGCUUGCAGCUCCAGGAAAGAUAGUGACUACGUUGACAUUAGAGGGAUGAUCACAGUAGCUGGAGCACCAAAGACACUAUUAUCUAGUCCCUUUCUCAUCCGAGUUGGCAUUUUCUUCCCAUGUGUGCUCCUCUGCCUUGGUUUAUGGAGACAUCUCAGUUAUGUUUCUCAGCUCCCUCUAUUAUCAGGCAUCUGUGAAAGCCUCAUAAACACUUGUGCACGC